CCAAAAGAUAAUCUUUCCAUCUUGAAAGAUCUUUUCCAUUGUGCUGGCUUUGACUGUAUUGUCAUUUUAGGGCUUAAACAUGGUGUUAUGCCGGCCCUAAAAACAUUAUACCAACCUUAUGAAAAUUGACUGAAGAAACUAAAACAAGGAUAAUUUGUUUAAAAA
rnacentral:misc_RNA from 1 species